UACGUAGGGUGCGAGCGUUGUCCGGAAUUAUUGGGCGUAAAGAGCUCGUAGGCGGUCUGUCGCGUCGGCUGUGAAAACUCAGGGCUUAACCCUGAGCUUGCAGUGGGUACGGGCAGACUAGAGUGCGGUAGGGGAGACUGGAAUUCCUGGUGUAGCGGUGAAAUGCGCAGAUAUCAGGAGGAACACCGGUGGCGAAGGCGGGUCUCUGGGCCGUAACUGACGCUGAGGAGCGAAAGCAUGGGGAGCGAACAGG
rnacentral:rRNA from 1 species